CCCUUAGAUGUUCUGGGCCGCACGCGCGCUACACUGACGGAUUCAACGAGCUUACAACCUUGGCCGAAAGGUCUGGGUAAUCUCCAAAAUCCGUCGUGAUGGGGAUAGAUUAUUGCAAUUAUUAAUCUUCAACGAGGAAUGCCUAGUAAGCGCAAGUCAUCAGCUUGCGUUGAUUACGUCCCUGCCCUUUGUACACACCGCCCGUCGCUCCUACCGAUUGAAUGGUCCGGUGAAGCGUUUGGACUAUGGUUUUCUGAUGGUCCGCCGUUGGAUUACCGUGGGAGGUUCGUUAAACCUUAUCAUUUAGAGGAAGGAGAAGUCGUAACA
rnacentral:rRNA from 1 species